UUUACCUACGGGGCGCAGCAGUGAGGAAUAUUGGUCAAUGGGCGCGAGCCUGAACCAGCCAAGUAGCGUGAAGGAUGACUGCCCUACGGGUUGUAAACUUCUUUUAUAAAGGAAUAAAGUGAGGCACGUGUGCCUUUUUGUAUGUACUUUAUGAAUAAGGAUCGGCUAACUCCGUGCCAGCAGCCGCGGUAAUACGGAGGAUCCGAGCGUUAUCCGGAUUUAUUGGGUUUAAAGGGAGCGUAGGCCGGUCUUUAAGCGUGCCGUGAAAUUUUGUGGCUCAACCAUGAGAGUGCGGCGCGAACUGG
rnacentral:rRNA from 1 species